UAGGCGGAGAACUCUGGAAUGAGUCUCCACCCGAAAAGACGCUUAGAGCACGCUUCUAAGCUUCGCCCGAGGAUGGGGCCGCGACCGAUCAGGUUGUUGGUGAGGUAAUGGCCCACCAAGCCUAUAACCGGUGCGGGCCGUGAGAGCGGGAGCCCGGAGAUGGGCACUGAGACAAGGGCCCAGGUCCUACGGGGCGCAGCAGUCGCGAAAACUUUGCAAUACACGCAAGUGUGACAGGGUCAUCCCGAGUGCCGACCGCUGAGGUUGGCUUUUACCCAGUCUAGAAAGCUGGGGGAAUAAGGAGAGGGCAAGUCUGGUGUCAGCCGCCGCGGUAAUACCAGCUCUCCGAGUGGUGUGGACGUUUAUUGGGCCUAAAGCAUCCGUAGCUGGCUGAACAAGUCCCCUGUUAAACCCACCGAUUUAAUCGUUGGCUUGCGGGGGAUACUGCUCGGCUAGGGGACGAGAGAGGCAGACGGUAUUCUAGGGGUAGGGGUGAAAUCCUAUAAUCCCUGGAAGACCACCAGUGGCGAAGGCUGUCUGCUAGAACGCGCCCGACGGUGAGGGAUGAAAGCUGGGGGAGCGAACCGGAUUAGAUACCCGGGUAGUCCCAGCUGUAAACGAUGCAGACUAGGUGUUUGGACGGCCACGUGCCGUUCUAGUGCCGC
rnacentral:rRNA from 1 species